CAGAACCUCACCCAGAAGAUGCCAUGAAGAUCAGUUGUGACUCAGACAGCGGAACGAACAGGGUGGCAAAGGAGGCACAAGGCUUGGGUUGGUGAUUUGCCUUUGAUUUUUCCAGAUUACAGUUACAUCUACACCUGAUCAAAAUGCAGUUGAGAGGGAGCAGAGGUGAGGCGCUAAGAAAUGAGCACAUGCAUGAUGAUUACCUGUCACGAUGGCUGAACUUUUAGAGCUGGUAAAUGCCGUCGUAUUCCUGGCACCACUGGAGUCUAUGAAAAAUGUACUGUGGCUGCCUCCAGACGUCACUUAUCUAUUCUGCUAUUUUUGGAUAUUCCAGAACCAAACCCUCCCAGGAUUAUUUUACUUUGACGAGACGUGGUCAACAUUCCGUGUUUUAGCAUGUCACACAGCGACGCAGUACCUUAAAUAUGAGAUACUGGGUCCAUAUCCCAGGACUGUAUGGGGAGCACUGUGAUCACGUCUGGCAAAUCAAAUGUUAUUCUGCAAUAAGUAUGGGGUUUCGACCCUGUCUGGAUGCAGCCUGUAUCUGAAAAGAAGCCCUGCUGAAUGCCAGAAAUAAGUAUAUGGAUGUGCUGUCCUUCGCAUACUUGGCUGACAUUCAGUCAGCCACUGUCCACACUGGCCAAUUAGGCAAGAAUCAGGAAACACGUGCCUGGGGAGCAGGUCCUGUCCUUGAUGUUUUGGACUUCUUUCACAUCAGAGGUACAUGUUGAAGCCACAGAGGUGUCAUCCACUUCAGUGCCGCUGUAGUAAUAGUCAGCGAAGGGAGGGGGCAUAAAAUCAACAUCAGUUGAAAAAACAAAGGAAGAUGCCAGUAAUGCUGGGUAAAGUCCAGGACUGUAUGGCCUUUGAAAGGUUUCUUCAGUGACCAAAUGGGAAGAUGAGGCCAAUGCAACACUCACAAACACAGUUUUGUCCCUGGNGCUGGAGGACCUGCUCAUCUUGAGGUUCUUCCUGACCACUGCGGUUGGAGGAGAGAAGAGGACAAUGNCAGAAACGGCUUCUCAGAACUUGGCUGUUGUUCUUUCUCCCCCAACUCUUGGUCUCUGAACAUUCCGGAUGCUGCAGCCAAGCUAAAAGAAUACGAAGAAUCUGACUCUUGUGAACUUGACGAGAAGCUCUUAGGAGCAGAGUCAUCAUAAACAGUUGAUUCAUUAUGUCCUUAACCACAGGUUUUUAUGUCAUUCGGAAAAUAGCCCUUUCAGCAACAUCUUGCUCCGCUCACAAUAUUGGGAGGAUGUUUCUCAGCCGCUGCUAUCUACUGGAGUGACGGAUGGGUCCCCACCCCCCUUCCCCUGGGAGAGGACACUGGGACCUGGCCUGACCCUGGUUAACUAAGGGAGCUGGCAUGAUCACAGCCCGAGGUGGCAAGAGGAAAGCCAUUAAUCAGUGCCUCUUUUCCUCCAAAGAUUUAGCUGUCUUCAACUGCAGAGAAACAAGGCUGGAAACAUUAGGGCCAUUUUUUAAAAAAUAAAAGUGAAGUAGGAGAGGAGCA
rnacentral:lncRNA from 1 species